rnacentral:rRNA from 1 species
UGGGGAAUAUUGGGCAAUGGGCGAAAGCCUGACCCAGCAACGCCGCGUGAAGGAAGAAGGUUUUCGGAUUGUAAACUUCUGUCCUCAGGGAAGAAAAAAAUGACGGUACCUGGGGAGGAAGCCCCGGCUAACUACGUGCCAGCAGCCGCGGUAAUACGUAGGGGGCGAGGGUUGUCCGGAAUGACUGGGCGUAAAGGGAGCGUAGACGGUUUUGUAAGUCUGGAGUGAAAGUCCUGGUUUCAAGGUGGGAAUUGCUUUGGAGACUGGAAGACUUGAGUGCUGAAGAGGUAAGUGGAAUUCCCAGUGUAGCGGUGAAAUGCGUAGAGAUUGGGAAGAACACCAGUGGCGAAGGCGACUUACUGGGCCGUAACUGACGUUGAGGCGCGAAAGCGUGGGGAGCGAACA